rnacentral:rRNA from 1 species
AGCGAACGCUGGCGGCGUGCCUAACACAUGCAAGUCGAACGUGAAAGGGAGCAAUCCCCUGUACAGUGGCGUACGGGUGAGUAACACGUAGGUAAUCUACCCCAGACUCUGGAAUAACCGGCCGAAAGGCUGGCCAAUACUGAAUAGAGCGACGUAAUCCGUAAUUGGGUUUUUCGGGAAAGGGAGCCUGUAUACAGGCCUUCGUUCUGGGAUGAGCCUGCGUCCCAUCAGUUAGUUGGUGAGGGAAAAGCUUACCAAGGGAAAGACUGGUAGCUGGUCUGGGGAGACUGACAGCCAAACUGGGAACGAAACAAGGGCCAAGCCCCUAAGGGGAGGAGCAAGGGGGAAAUCUGCGGAAUAGACGGAAGUCUGGCGGAGCAACGCCGGGUGGGGGAAGAAAGCUCUCGGGUUGGAAAGCUCUGGCGAGUGGGACGAAAAUGCUGUGAGUUCACAGAUGCAGGAACUGACGGUACCACUAAAGAAAGCACCGGCUAACUCCGUG